CCUUCCAUUGCGCCUUCCCCCUCGCUGGCUUCCCGGACCACCCUCCCUUCUCGCUGCCCUUGUGCGGGAGCGCAGCUCGCGCGCUGGGCUGCAGUUCCCAGAAGGGACGGUGGGGGUGGAGGGCAGAGUCCCUUCUCCAAGAUUUCCCUGCCCGGGGGCUGUCACUGGGCCGCCUCCCUUUGCCAACCCCUCCCGCAGCCCAUUACUCCCCAGUUUGUGCGAUGAGCCGGGACUGCCCUUUCUAGAAAAAUACCUCACCCCACCUCCACCUCCUUGGCCCUCCUGGGCGGGUUUAUGCUGCUUGCUCUCUCUUCGCCCCAACAUUUCUCGGGUAAGCUUGUUUGGGUCAGUGCCAACCUGGAACGCAUGCCUGGGGUCAGGGGGACACUUCCCAAGCUCUAGAUUUUAAAAUGCGUUCUCAUUGACCUUUAUCUCUACCCUGCCAUCCCCUGCCUUAGCGACUUCUCUUUGGGGACCAGGCUCACACUUCCGGAAUAGGUGAUCUGGAACGCGUUUCAAUUCCCUGGAGCCUUAGGGAGGGACUUGGGCUUUCUCUUCUUCAUUCCACAAAUAAUCAACUCCCGCCCAGUCUGCCUUCUUUUCCCUAAUAGCUGCUGCAGAACGUAGGCCAGGCUGGCGGAAACGUCAAGGAACCCCACUUUUCCACCCAGGGGCCAGCGGGACCGCCGGGGCUACAAAGUGUGCUGUGGGGAAAUUAGGAAGUUGGCUCUCUUCCCUGACCCCCUCCCCCCUCUUCCCACCAGGAAGGGAACAGGCUGCAUUCGUGUUCUGAAAGCAAGCGCUGCAGAGCCUUUCCACCUCCUUAGGUCCCAAGGAAAAGCUGAGCCUCUCUUCCAUCGAUAACGAGGGAGGGAGGGGCUCAAUGACACAGAGGAAGGAAAUGUUUCAUAAUGCUUCCACAGGCGGAAAACCAGGGGACAAUGGCAGAAGAAAGGUAAGAUACUUGAGAGAACAUUUGAGGAAAAGUCAUUUUACACUUGCAAGAUAUUGACUAUGGAAUCAUGAAAACAUGAUGGCAAAGCCAUGUGGAACUUUGCCUCCGAGAGGUUAAGUGACUGGCCUUACAUUGUAGCCAACUGAGGACCUAGAAAUAACUCUGGCUCAUAAUUUUUCAUCAAAUGCCUUUUGGAAUUGUAACGAACUAGUUGCUCUGGUAGGUAAGUAUGCUGUCAGAUCCGUGAUUGCUGUUGUUUCCAAUGAUUAAAUUUUAACCAUUCUAACUAGGAAUUUUCUGGCAAUAAAAAAUUUCCACCUUAAGAGAUCCCCGGCCUUUAGUACUUCAUUUUUGGUCCACGAGGUGGCGACGUUCUACAACAAAUGAUGUUUUCAGCUGUUUUGUUUGUUUUUUGGUUUUUGUUUUUUUCUUAACAGUUCAAGGCUGGAAUGUGUAGUUUUUACAUCUUUCCAAUCCUAUCUGAUAAUUUUUCAUACAAUUUUCUCUUACCUUUUGGCAUCAUGGAAAAUAUCUUUUAAAUAUUGUAACUUAAAUGUAUUUACAUCCUUAAAAUAAUAAUAAAAUGCCUUUUUUAUUUUUAA